UGCACCUAAAAGCGUUUUCUUGCCAGCCCGUUAAAUGCUCUCGAAAAUCGUAGAUGUGUGCCAGAGCAGCCGUCACAGUUGCAUGUGACCUGGAUCCACAAAUGAAUCAGGUCCAAUUUAAGCUGGGCUCACUU
rnacentral:snoRNA from 1 species